GUGGGGGGCCCCUGCAAUGGGGGCCUUACGAACCUGGUCAGGGUGGAAACGCAGCAGCCAUAAGUUUGCGUCUCUUUGUGUGGGGGUCCCCUACCGG
rnacentral:SRP_RNA from 1 species